CUAUGGCUUAACCAUAGAACUGCAUUUGAAACUACUAUUCUAGAGUGUGGGAGAGGUAGGUGGAAUUCUUGGUGUAGGGGUAAAAUCCGUAGAGAUCAAGAGGAAUACUCAUUGCGAAGGCGACCUGCUGGAACAUUACUGACGCUGAUUGCGCGAAAGCGUGGGGAGCAAACAGGAUUAGAUACCCUGGUAGUCCACGCCCUAAACGAUGGAUGCUAGUUGUUGGAGGGCUUAGUUUCUCCAGUAAUGCAGCUAACGCAUUAAGCAUCCCGCCUGGGGAGUACGGUCGCAAGAUUAAAACUCAAAGGAAUAGACGGGGACCCGCACAAGCGGUGGAGCAUGUGGUUUAAUUCGAAGAUACACGAAGAACCUUACCUAGGCUUGACAUUGAGAGAAUCCGCUAGAAAUAGUGGAGUGUCUGGCUUGCCAGACCUUGAAAACAGGUGCUGCACGGCUGUCGUCAGCUCGUGUCGUGAGAUGUUGGGUUAAGUCCCGCAACGAGCGCAACCCCCUUUCUUAGUUGCUAACAGGUUAUGCUGAGAACUCUAAGGAUACUGCCUCCGUAAGGAGGAGGAAGGUGGGGACGACGUCAAGUCAUCAUGGCCCUUACGCCUAGGGCUACACACGUGCUACAAUGGGGUGCACAAAGAGAAGCAAUACUGCGAAGUGGAGCCAAUCUUCAAAACACCUCUCAGUUCGGAUUGUAGGCUGCAACUCGCCUGCAUGAAGCUGGAAUCGCUAGUAAUCGCAAAUCAGCCAUGUUGCGGUGAAUACGUUCCCGGGUCUUGUACUCACCGCCCGUCACACCAUGGGAGUUGUGUUUGCCUUAAGUCAGGAUGCUAAAUUGGCUACUGCCCACGGCACACACAGCGACUGGGGUGAAGUCGUAACAAGGUAACCGUAGUGAACC
rnacentral:rRNA from 1 species